GAGUAGGGAUUGCCAUGCAACAGAUGGACAAGAGCUAUAAGUGUAUGAAAGUUCAAAGAGAAACUAGUGGGUGUGCAUCCAACUCGCUUGCUCACGAAGACCUAGGGAAAUUUGAGGAAGCCCAUCAUUGGAAUAUAGAAGCCAAGUUCUAUAAUGAAAAUUUCCACUAGUAUAUGAAAGUGGCAACAUAGGAGACUCUCUAUCAUGAAGAUCAUGGUGCUACUUUGAAGCACAAGUGCGGUAAGGGAUAGUAGCAUUGUCCCUUCUCUCUUUUCUCUCAUUUUUUUUCUUUUUUUGGUGGGCUUGUUUGGCCUCUUCUUUUUUUAUUUGGGCUUCAUUGGCCUCUUUUAUUACUUCCUCACAGGGGACAAUGCUCUAAUAAUGA
rnacentral:lncRNA from 1 species